CGCAUCUGUGCAUGCAGCAUAUCAAUAAGCGGAGGAAAAGAAACUAACAAGGAUUCCCUUAGUAACGGCGAGUGAAGCGGGAAGAGCUCAAAUUUGAAAUCUUAAAGGGUUUCCCUUUACGAAUUGUAGUUUAAAGAAGUGUUUUCUGUUGAAGUUUUGGUGAAAGUUCUUUGGAAUAGGACAUCAUAGAGGGUGAGAAUCCCGUAUUUGACCAUUAUUUUCAGCUGUGUGACACACUUUCAAAGAGUCGGAUUGUUUGGGAAUGCAGUCCAAAAUGGGUGGUAAAUUUCAUCUAAAGCUAAAUAUUGGCGAGAGACCGAUAGCGAACAAGUACCGUGAGGGAAAGAUGGAAAAGAACUUUGAAAAGAGAGUUAAACAGUACGUGAAAUUGUCAAAAGGGAAGCGUUUGACACCAGUGUUGUUUUCUCGAAAAUCAAUUAAAAAGAGUUAGAUUUUGUUGUGUAUUGACCUUAACAGCUUGCAUUUCAAUUUUCUUGCUUUUUUUAAUGCACUUUUCGUUUAACAAGUCAACAUCAGUUUCUUUUGUUGUAAAAAGGUCAUUGGAAGGUGGCUUUCUUUUCGGAGAAAGUGUUUAUAGCCUUUGACUCCUGCAAUCAGAGAGACUGAGGUCUGCAGCGUAGAUCCUUCGGGGUUAGAUACAUUUGUGCUAAGUUAUAGCUUUUUAUAGACAACUUGUUGACUAUGAUUAGUCUUGUAGCUUACUCGCUUAUGCUAUUUUACCUACGCUUAGGAUGUUGAUGUGAUACUGCGAGCA
rnacentral:rRNA from 1 species